rnacentral:rRNA from 1 species
GGGGAAUAUUGGACAAUGGGCGCAAGCCUGAUCCAGCCAUGCCGCGUGGGUGAAGAAGGCCUUCGGGUUGUAAAGCCCUUUUGUUGGGAAGGAAAACCGCCCGCCCAUUACCGGGUUGUCCUGCGGGUACCCAAGGAUUAACACCCGCUAAACUCCUUCCCAGCAGCCGCGGUAAUACGAAGGGUGCAAGCGUUACUCGGAAUUACUGGGCGUAAAGCGUGCGUAGGUGGUGGUUUAAGUCCGUUGUGAAAGCCCUGGGCUCAACCUGGGAACUGCAGUGGAUACUGGAUCACUAGAGUGUGGCAGAGGGUAGUGGAAUUCCCGGUGUAGCAGUGAAAUGCGUAGAGAUCGGGAGGAACAUCAGUGGCGAAGGCGACUGCCUGGGCCAACACUGACACUGAGGCACGAAAGCGUGGGGAGCAAACA